rfam:Salmo salar isolate Sally breed double haploid chromosome ssa02, whole genome shotgun sequence.
UGCACUCACUAUUGUAAGUCGCUUUGGAUAAGAGCACCUGCUAAAUGACUCAGA